rnacentral:rRNA from 1 species
CACCUCUAGCAUUACAAGUAUUAGAGGCAUUGCCUGCCCAGUGACUAUAGUUAAACGGCCGCGGUAUCCUGACCGUGCAAAGGUAGCAUAAUCAUUUGUUCCUUAAUUAGGGACUAGUAUGAAUGGCUAGACGAGGGAUCAACUGUCUCUUAUUUUCAAUCAGUGAAAUUGACCUUCCAGUGAAGAGGCUGGAAUACAAUAAUAAGACGAGAAGACCCUAUGGAGCUUAAAUUAACAAGCUUAAUUAUUACCUAAAUAUCCUAAUGGAACAAAACAAAAAAUAUAAGCUUAAAAUUUUGGUUGGGGUGACCUCGGAGAACAAAAAAUCCUCCGAAAGAUAUAUAACAUAGACCUACAAGUCAAAGUAACUCAGUUAUCUUAUUGACCCAAAAAUUGAUCAACGGACCAAGUUACCCUAGGGAUAACAGCGCAAUCCUAUUUAAGAGUCCAUAUCGACAAUAGGGUUUACGACCUCGAUGUUGGAUCAGGACAUCCCAAUGGUGCAGAAGCUAUUAAUGGUUCGUUUGUUCAACG